rnacentral:rRNA from 1 species
UAUGUAGGGGGCAAGCGUUGUCCGGAAUCAUUGGGCGUAAAGCGCGUGUAGGCGGCUUGGUAAGUCUGCUCUGAAAGCCCGGGGCUCAACCCCGGGAGGCGGGUGGAUACUGUCAAGCUCGAGUCCGGAAGAGGAGUGUGGAAUUCCUGGUGUAGCGGUGAAAUGCGCAGAUAUCGGGAGGAACACCAGUGGCGAAGGCGAGUCUCUGGACAUUUCCUGACGCUGAGGCACGAAAGCCAGGGGAGCAAACGGG